UUGCAGUGAGGAAACAUUACAUGAAUCACAACGUUAUCAUAAGGUAUCAACUUUAUGGGCAUCACUCAAUUGAUGAGUUGUUUUCUAACAGUCAUAAUUUGACCCAUUUUCAGAUUGUUUAAAGAGUUCUUUAAAUUUUCAGCAUGAAUUUAAAAUAGGUUCUUUAAAUUCUCAAGUGCUUCUGUACUGUUGAUUCUGCAGUGGCAGUCUCAGAACUCCCAAGGCAGUCCAUUUCUUUGAAGGUCACUGGGUGAACAGGGUAUUUUUCACAAUUGCAUUACACUGCUUUUCAUGCUCCCAAUUUACAGAGGGAAAGUGCUGUCAGCCAUGUGCUGUGGGAAUGUCAGACUCGGUGAGGAGCUGUGGUACUUGAGGGGGGAGCAAUCACACUCCAAGUAAUCAGCAGGAACUGUGAGACAAAUCAUGUGGUCCAUACUCUCACAAAACCCUCACUGACUUCAGUGGGAGUUUUGCCAAAAUAAGGUCUGCUGGAUUUAGCUCUUCCUCCUGAUGGAACAAGUGGAAAUUAAAGGGCCAGGAUCAGAUUUGUGUGACAGAGAGAAAAAGAAGAACCAUAAUUAUCUUAAAAUUAACAACUUUUGCCCAAAGCAAAUCAGUGUUCCAUUAGAAGCAUUUAAUUUACAACAAGAAUUAAGUGUUUGUGUGAGUGCUUCUCAGCACUACCAAAAUCCACUACACUUUGAUUUUUAUGAGAUGUCUGUGAGAGGCUGUCUUGCUCAAUCUCGUGUUGGAGUAUUUAUAACAUUUAAUAAACCACAUCACACAUUACCUUGUAUUUAACAACAUUAUUUACAUUUGUUAUAAGGAUAAGGAGCACAUUUUAACCUUUUUAUCGUAUCUCCAUUCCUCAUCAUUUUGAGACAAGUACGUUUCUGCAAAUCAGGACACAUGCAACCGGCAUUUGCUAAAUGCCAGGAGCUGGAGUUCUUUUCCUGCAGGUGGUUCUACAAAAAGCCAACGUCUAUUGCUCUGCUUCAGUCCUCUCUAUCAUUACAGAAUGACAUUUCAUUUUUAAGCUUCUGAAUUUUAUUCCAGUAAGUGCUUAAUUAGGUCAACUUUUGAAACAGGAGAAAGCCAAAUUCUGCACAUUUUGCUGAUACCAGAAAAAAUGAAGUUGGUAGGAGCAUGGAAAAUGGGAUCUGACUCCUUUUCAAAAGUAAAUUAUUUGUCCUGCUUCUUCCUCAUUCUGCUUCUUUCCCCUGGAAUGGAAUAGAAAACGUGCCUGGCAACGUAGGAAGCAACAAGAAAAGUAUACAGGCUGAUGAGACCGCUCAGGUAUCUGCAGGAGUGAGUCAGGGAACGCUGGGAGAUGUGCUUCACGUUCAGAGGUUAGUAAGAAAAAUUGAGCAUUUGUUAUUUCCUGGGUACUGACAUCACCAUCUCAAAUCUCCUUAAGGAAAAUUACUUCUACAGCUGAAAACAAGAGCACAAUCUGAAUUCUUUUGGUAAAGAGCUGGAGCAUGCUGUACUUCACAAUGGGUCGUUAUUCCUUCGUGUUUUGCAUUUACCACACUGUACUUCAAACAUUUGUAUGUGAAAUGCAUCACUUUAAAAUCUGCGGAUACUGAAGGUUCUUUCCUGCUCGUUGAUGUAAUUGAGUGAAAUGAAGGUUGAUCAUAAAAUGUAAUGAGAGGGGAAGAGAGAACUCUUACGCUGGAAAAAGCACUAUAAAUAUUUUCCUGAGAUCAUUAACACAACCUUGUAACACUUUGCCUCGUGCAGCGGAAAGAAUUAUACAAUCGUUUUAUGAAGUUUCUAUCUAAAAAGUAUUUACAAUUCCAUCCUAAAUAUACAUGGCUUUUUUUUUUAAAGCGUAACAAACAAACAAACAAAAAAAACCCCAACAGCCUAUAAUUCUUAAUGCUGUAAUCAAAGUUAUUUCCAACCUUUGAAGGGAUUCACUUCCCAGGGGCUCGGCAGCGUCAAACAAAUGUUCGACUUUUAUUCUGACACUUCUUGAAGAAUUUGAUUGAAACUAUAUAUGUCAAGAUAACACCCAACAAAGUGCCCCUCUUGCGUUUGUUUCAAGAUAUUUUUGGAAGCAACAGAGACGACCUUGGAUGGAGCUGCUUUUCCAAUUUAGGACUUCAUUUGGUCUAAGAGAGUAAAAUCAUACUCUUCUGUCCUUUUGUAUACCCACAAACAAAACAGUGUUGUUACUUUCUGCUAUUGUAAAACUGUUUUUCUGUACCUUGUUAGCAGUGUCAAUCUGUUGAGGAUAAGAACUGUUUUAGGUAAUCCACAGUUACGUUCAAACAUACAUAUAAAUAGUCCUCCAGUGUAUCACAUGUCCCUGUAAAACACUGCAAUCUAAACGAACAGUGGUCCUUUAUGUAAUGCCUUUCUUUCUUUACAACGAGUGUUAAUAAAUAAGCUUAGCCUUUGUCUUUGCUUAUAGACAUCAAGAAUCUGAUUUCAAGCCAGGGCUCACACAGACUUGAUGUAAAGUCUAAAUGAGGAGAGUGGUAAUGCUGGUGAAUGCGCUGCGAUGGGACUGCCACCUGUCUGGAUUGCAGGAGAAAUAUUGUUUGUCAAGCUUCAAGUUUAAAUCCAAGUAGCUGCGGACAGCUGAAGGGAAGCAACUGUGAAUAGAUCCUGGGAAUCAGCAUGUAUUUGAGUCAUUUGGCUGGUUUAUGUCUCCUGUGUAGAGGUGUAGCUUCACAAAAUGCCUACUGCCCGCAGGAAGAACUCCCUCCGAACAGAUUCUCUACCUGAGAAUCAGGGAAGGAAAUAAAUGUGGAACUGGUGACAUUUCAAGGACAAGGAAAACAACCGCUCGGAGAAUUAUCUGAUGCAGUUGGUGUUUAUUUUUACUUAUAUCUAGCAAUCUGCUCUCCAACAGAAGAUGCUUAUUUGCAGAAAAGAAGGCUGUCUCCUGUCUGGACUGGCGCCAGGUCUGGAGAAAAGGUGGCACUAAGGACAAGAGCAAUGAAACAGGAGGAGCUCCACAAUGCGAAACCAAAUCUACUGCUAUUAAUACAACAUCCCAGCCACAGGGAAGAGAUUUGUUUAUUUAUCAAAGCUAGAGAUGCCUCUCUCUGACCUUUCCAGAGCUUGUGUGCUUUAGCUGGGAAUAGAUUCCUAAGAACGGGAUGCUCUUUUUAAAAAUAUGCACUAAAAACUUAGCCCCCGCUCCUGAAACAGAGCCAAGGCUGUAAACCCAAUUAUGUGAAAUGCCCCAUAAUGUUGAGCAUUUAGAAUAAGUCUAACUAGGGCAACAGUCCACUGCACAGAGAUCAGUCAGCCCACUCACCCUUCCUGCUGCCAAUCAGUGACACAUUAAGUGACUAUAACCAUACAUGGGCCCACUUUCUGAAGCCUAACAUCUGCCUGCAGCCUAAGAAACCUGUCAGUAGGGCUCUUUUUUUUUCUUUUUUUUUUUUUUUUUCCCCAGAAUUAAACAGUGUUUCAGACUGUACUGAACUGUAUUUGUUUUGUAUUCUUCUGGAAUUCAUUUUGAAGUGAAAAAAAAAUAAUUACGUGCACAAGUCAAAAUGUAAGUUUUUUUUUUUACCAGUUUGUUGUAUUUACUGACCUGUCUGGACAGCUUAAGAGAAUCUCUGCAAUAGUUGAAUCUUGCAUUAAGAAACUGACUUAUUUACCUGAUAGAUGCAUAAUCCACUUAUCAAGCUGGUGCACCUCUAAGUCUCAGAGUGCUUCCAGUUUGGUCAUCCGUGUUGGGCAAUUUUAAAUUAAAGUUCCCUAGCUGUCUGCUUGCCAGAAGCAGCAAGCAGCUGUCCUGCAACACAGUUGGCAAAAAUGAACGUAACUGGUUUCUCAGCCAUCUAGUUCUCCAGCUCAGCAGAUUUACUGAAACCACCACUGAUUUCAGUACCUGCUCCAUGACUGUAGUUUAGUCACCACAGGCUGUUAAGGAAAUAUCAAAGCAGGCCUGAGCACAGGAACUGGGAGCCAGGGAAAGAACUGACCCUGUGUGUACUGAUUCCAAAGCAAUAAUCAUGUUACAUAAAGGGAAAACAAUACUUAUGCCACCUCCUUCUCCUCCAACAGUUACAACUUCAUAGUUGUAACUUCCUAUGAAGGAAGAUCCAGUCUUAUCUGACAGCUGUGCUCUAAGCAUGUCUGCUUAAGUGAGCCCUUCCAAGACGUGCCUGUAGCUGGCUAUCUGAAAUCUCACAGACUGGGCUCAGGGCACUGCAGUUGGUUCCCCUCUCCUGCCUGCCCUUGGUUGCAUGAGCACCAGCUCUCAUGCAGCAGAAUUGCAAGGCGUGUGACAGAGCUGUUCACCUUAAAGUAAUACCAAAAAAAGAAAUCAGACUGCCUUGUUAAGCAUUCAGUUCAGUGUGACUAACAUGUCUGUCAGAUGCACUGGUAAAAUUGCUUGUGGGCCUCAGCACUGAACAUUGCCUUUUUUUUUUGUUGCUGUUGUUUUUGCUAAGUAACUUCCAACUGCCUGUACCCAUAAAAUGGUGGAAAAUAAAGGGACUGAAAGCAGCAUGAAGGUGUGUAAGGAGGAGCACAGCUGCACCUUUUGGCAGAAGUACCAGAUGUUGGGGAUGAGAAAGUGCCUUGUUGAACUGUGUCUUAUGUCCAAGUCUUAUUUUAAUUAUCAUGCUACUUGCUGUUUUCUAGGUAUUACAUAUAGAGUCCUGUGAUUUGACAAAGCUGAUCACCUGUAGAAUUAAACUCCAAGAGUCCAAAAUUACUAUUUACUCUCUAAGCAACCACUGGGCAAUAUUAUCUAUAAAUAAAAUCUCCCAAAUAUUACUCUGAACCACAUAGCAGCUUGGAAGGCCAAAAAACUGUCUUUCAUUACUUCUUCACACUUUUGAAGGAAUUGGUUUAGCAGUGAUGCAUCCCCUCAUGCUCUGACCAACUUCACACUUCAUUUUUUAUCCAAAUCUAAGUAACAGGCUUUGGGGACCUUGUCUGUAUUCCUUCCUACUCAAGUCUGUUCCCAUCUGCCUGAUCCCCUCAGUGACUUUACAAUACUUCUUUUGUGUCACCAGAACUACUGUUGCCUCCCAGUCAGACUUCCCACACUGGUCUCUAAAACUGCACUCCCUGCUUUUGCAUGUUCAGUUUCUGUAUCUGCAAGUGCAUGAAUAAGGGCUUGUUUGAGGACACAGAAUUUAGUAUGGCCAUUUUACAAUUUGGGUUCAGACUGAGCUCAGUGUCCAUGGAAAAUUGCCAAAAAGCAUCUGAUCCUGGUAAUUAGGGGACGGGCAUGUGAGGAACCUGUGGAAAGAGGUCCCUCACCCUGCCUGACUCACAGCUGGAGUUUCUCCCUGGCAGUUGAGACGGGUGAUGUGAGAGGUUAGUCAAGAGUGGGGGCAGAUUCCUGUGGGGCUUCACCAGCCAAAUUCCUAUCUAGCAAAAGGUUGCUACAGCAACUCCGAGCCACCCGAGAUACAGAAAUUAUUGUAAUGGCUGCUGAAAUGCCUCGCUACUGCUCUGAGACAGGAUAAGGAAAACCCUUCCUUUUGAUAUGGAAUGGUUACCCACUGCCAUCAGUGUCAGCUCUGUACAAGCACCAGGUUUCCUGAACUUGCUUGGGUGCCGGGGUUACCUUUCAGUCCAAAGCAAGACAUCGUUACUGGUGUAUGUAAUACAAACAUAGAAAUAAUAAACCUAAACACUGAACAACAAGCCAAUAUCUUUUUUUUUUCCCAUGGAGAGAAUAAAAUAGUAAACAAGUCGUAUGAUAAGUUAACAUCCUAUAGAGUGAGCUGACCAGAAUAUAGAAACCUGCACAUAGCCAAAUUGUGUAUUUUCCUGACUAGAGUUUCUGGUUUUCAAAAUUCACAUAGAUACAAAAAGAAACAAACAAAGCAAAAAUGGGACAAAAGCCCUCACAGCUUCCCAGCGACUGUCCAGCCAUUUUUUGGCUGCCUCCAGCCUGAGCAUGUUUUCCUCUGGCAUUUGGCCCACUCACAGGUCAUUCAGUCCACUGGACUAUGUCAUAAAUACCAGACAGAGACGAUGGUUUGGACAGAAUGGGAAAGCUUGUGACCUAAACAGGACCUGAAUUUAGACUAGGGUGGACUGAGGAUAACAGAGACGUAGAACCAGCACUAUCAGCAUACUCUCUAAGUGAAAAAAACUUUGUCAAAGUUGCUCCCGUUUACCUCCCUUUUGCUUGAGAGCAACUCAGUUUACUCUAGAAGCCAACAAUGAAAACAGCAGAAACUCUAUUAUCUGAAAUAGUAGCUGUUUUUAGCUGAAAUAACUGGCUUUUAAAAUUAUGGUGAUAAUUUCACUAGGACAUCAGUUUAUACCUCAGCGUUGUGUUUUGGUCACCAAAAAAAAAAAAA